CGUGGCGGCAGGCUUAACACAUGCAAGUUGAACGGGAUUGCUUGGUGCUUGCACUGAGCGAUGAGAGUAGCGCACUGGUGAGUAACACGUGGGAACAUGCCUUUUGGUGGGGGACAACAGGAGGAAACUUCUGCUAAUACCGCAUAAGCCCUAAGGGGGAAAGAAUUUUUGCCGAAAGAUUGGCCCGCGGAAGAUUAGGUAGUUGGUGGGGUAAAGGCCUACCAAGGCCGACGAUCUAUACGCUGGUCUGAGAGGACGAACAGCCACAUUGGAACUGAGACACGGUCCAGACUCCUACGGGAGGCAGCAGUGAGGAAUAUUGGGCAAUGGAGGAAACUCUGAACCCCCAGCCAUGCCGCGUGAGUGAAGAAGGUUUUCGAAUUGUAAAGCUCUUUCGGAUGUGACGAUGAUGACGGUAACAUCUAAAGAAGCCCCGGCAAACUUCGUGCCAGCCGCCGC
rnacentral:rRNA from 1 species